rnacentral:rRNA from 1 species
UACGGAGGGUGCAAGCGUUAUCCGGAUUCACUGGGUUUAAAGGGUGUGUAGGCGGGUAUUUAAGUCAGUGGUGAAAUCUCCGAGCUCAACUCGGAAACUGCCAUUGAUACUAUUUAUCUUGAAUGUUCUGGAGGUCAGCGGAAUAUGUCAUGUAGCGGUGAAAUGCUUAGAUAUGACAUAGAACACCUAUUGCGAAGGCAGCUGACUACGGAAAUAUUGACGCUGAGGCACGAAAGCGUGGGGAUCAAACAGG